rnacentral:rRNA from 1 species
AUUGAACGCUGGCGGCAGGCCUAACACAUGCAAGUCGAACGGUAACAGGAAGCAGCUUGCUGCUUUGCUGACGAGUGGCGGACGGGUGAGUAAUGUCUGGGAAACUGCCUGAUGGAGGGGGAUAACUACUGGAAACGGUAGCUAAUACCGCAUAACGUCGCAAGACCAAAGAGGGGGACCUUCGGGCCUCUUGCCAUCGGAUGUGCCCAGAUGGGAUUAGCUAGUAGGUAGGGUAAAGGCUCACCUAGGCGACGAUCCCUAGCUGGUCUGAGAGGAUGACCAGCCACACUGGAACUGAGACACGGUCCAGACUCCUACGGGAGGCAGCAGUGGGGAAUAUUGCACAAUGGGCGCAAGCCUGAUGCAGCCAUGCCGCGUGUAUGAAGAAGGCCUUCGGGUUGUAAAGUACUUUCAGCGGGGAGGAAGGGAGUAAAGUUAAUACCUUUGCUCAUUGACGUUACCCGCAGAAGAAGCACCGGCUAACUCCGUG